rnacentral:misc_RNA from 1 species
AAAGUGCUGCUCAUUUGCAGCCAAACAGUCCAGUUUUAAACACAAACAUGUAUGUACAUGGGCAUAGUUACUUCAGUGGGAUUCUAAACAAACUUGAUACUUGCUCAGUGAGCUGGAUUGGAAUUGAACUUAAAACUUCAAGCUUAGUGAAGCGCUCAAUGAGCUGGACGAGGAACAUAACUCAUUGUACGGUGUGCUUGGACUGCACAGGCACAGUGCACUGAUGUCAAGUUCAAACAGCCACUCAUGACAAGGGAAUGUCUACCUGAGCAGGUGUGAAGUGCAGGAAAUGAGUCGCAUAGUGCCUGCACAGCAGGAGGGGUAAGUGCUGUGCAUUGGCUGAUAUUGAGACUCCUUAACCCUUCCUCAUCGCACCUGCCCUUCAUGGAUUGCCACAUUGGAGGUUUGUUCUUCACUCGGCUAUGAACCAGUGAAUACAUGGCCCUAUCUGUGAUGUUUCGACAAUAAUACAGGCCAAGGGAUCUCAAAUGGAGACACCUGUAUGCCAAAGCAAUCACGCUAUCGUCUACAACAAAAUUAUAAAAAAGUCAGUCAUCAGAGAAAAUGCCAAAAUUACCUUAUGUAAAAAAAAAUAUCUUCUGCCUGAAACUUAAAGUAGCAAACUGCUCAACAUCAAAUAACAGACUCAGGAUUAAAAUUUAAUAUUGUUAUCACUAUAUUAAUCAUCUUUUAUCAAUAAGAAGGGCCAUUGUCCAGAACAAUGAUAAAAGUCUUCAGUCAGUGAAUAUAAACUAGAACACUCCACAAAAAAAUUUCUGGAAGAUAUUGCUAAAUAUUUCCUCUCAAGAAAAAUGGAUUUUGAACACCAGAUCUUAUCCUAAAUAUUCAAUUCUAGACUCACAACCUAGAUGCUGCAAAAAAUCUAAACGCAGGAAACCUAAAACUCAGGAAACCUAAAACUAAGGAAGAGGUUUGAGCUGCAGCUAUUCCCUUCUUAUGCAUAGAAAUUACACACAAAAAAAAAUGUAAAAUGUUGAUAUGUCUUUUACAAGAAAGCUUGACCAUCAAAACAACACAAUCAAUUCAUGAAUCAAAAAAAUAUGAAGACCAUUUUCAAUUCUCUAAUUGUUGAAUAGCCUCCCCAGACAUGAAAUACCUGUUAUACAGACACAUCCACAUAAAUCAAGAGUUCUGAGAUCAGGGCAUCCGUAUGCUAGGCUCACUACUCCAAGAUCACCCACAUUCUCACACCAUCCCAGAUUUAGAGAUUGCAACUGACUGCAGUUCUGUCCAAUAGCCUGCAAAGCACGGUCAGUUGCAGUCUUUACACAUCCACAAAGAUUCAAAAUUUUUAAUUUUCGGCAAAACCCAGUCAGAUAUUCAAGAGCACUAUCUGUAAAUGCUGUACACCCACUAAUGUUGAGUUUGGUAAGGUUGGGACAACCGUGAGCUAAUGCAUACAGGGAACAAUCACUAAGCUUAAAGCUUUUGCUGAGGUCUAGGUCUUGCAGAUUAUGACAGUAGCUUGCAAUAGCCUCAACAGCAUUAUCCUCAAGUUGUGGUUUAUCUUGUCGCAGUACCAGAGUUUCCAGUUUUGUGAAUUUAGGAGCCAGAGACAGAAGCAAGUUGUUCAUGUUGUUUUUGC